AUGGGGGACCCAGAACCGAGUGGUCUCGACAGUCAAGAACGGGUCCCUGAAAACAAGAAGCGAUACAGUGAGAUAUUCCGGAGCCUGGAUGACUUGGAGAUCUCCAUCGGCAACGCGUACGUAGAGAUACGGGGCAGAACCACCUCUCUGGGUCUUUGCAGCCCUAAUUUAUCAUUCCUUUUUAAUUUAUUUCAUGUCAUUCCUUUUCAUUUUACAGGACAGUUGAUUUGUUCAUUGGUGAUGCUGACGGCACUGACGACACAGACCUGUCUGCAGAAAGAGAGAUCGUUCCGGUAGGCAAAGAAUUACCCGUCUUAAUAAAAAAAUUAACAGUGUCUUUUGCCA
rnacentral:lncRNA from 1 species